rnacentral:rRNA from 1 species
UACGUAGGGUGCGAGCGUUAAUCGGAAUUACUGGGCGUAAAGCGUGCGCAGGCGGUUUUGUAAGCCAGAUGUGAAAUCCCCGGGCUUAACCUGGGAAUGGCAUUUGGGACUGCAAGGCUGGAGUGUGGCAGAGGAGACUGGAAUUCCUGGUGUAGCAGUGAAAUGCGUAGAUAUCAGGAGGAACACCGAUGGCGAAGGCAGGUCUCUGGGCCGCAACUGACGCUGAGGAGCGAAAGCAUGGGGAGCGAACAGG